GAGAGCCAAAUGAAUCGAAAGAUUCGUGUUUGGUUCGGGAAGGGAUCAUGGAAGUUUUUAAAUGAAUGGAAAGAUAAUCUACUUUCAU
rfam:Vitis vinifera cultivar Maxxa chloroplast, complete genome.